rnacentral:pre_miRNA from 7 species
UUUUGUUGUUCAUUGUGAAAGACCCCAGAAGAGGGGAGACCCUCACUCAAGUCUAGGGAUGAUGCGACCCCCUAAGAACUCACAAGAGACC